rnacentral:rRNA from 1 species
GGCGGCGUGCUUAACACAUGCAAGUCGAACGGUGAAGCCCUUCGGGGUGGAUCAGUGGCGAACGGGUGAGUAACACGUGGGCAAUCUGCCCUGCACUCUGGGACAAGCCUUGGAAACGGGGUCUAAUACCGGAUAUGACCUUCCUCUGCAUGGGGGUUGGUGGAAAGCUCCGGCGGUGCAGGAUGAGCCCGCGGCCUAUCAGCUUGUUGGUGGGGUAAUGGCCUACCAAGGCGACGACGGGUAGCCGGCCUGAGAGGGCGACCGGCCACACUGGGACUGAGACACGGCCCAGACUCCUACGGGAGGCAGCAGUGGGGAAUAUUGCACAAUGGGCGAAAGCCUGAUGCAGCGACGCCGCGUGAGGGAUGACGGCCUUCGGGUUGUAAACCUCUUUCAGCAGGGAAGAAGCGCAAGUGACGGUACCUGCAGAAGAAGCACCGGCUAACUACGUGCCAGCAGCCGCGGUAAUACGUAGGGUGCGAGCGUUGUCCGGAAUUAUUGGGCGUAAAGAGCUCGUAGGCGGCCUGUCGCGUCGGAUGUGAAAGCCCGGGGCUUAACCCCGGGUCUGCAUUCGAUACGGGCAGGCUAGAGUGUGGUAGGGGAGAUCGGAAUUCCUGGUGUAGCGGUGAAAUGCGCAGAUAUCAGGAGGAACACCGGUGGCGAAGGCGGAUCUCUGGGCCAUUACUGACGCUGAGGAGCGAAAGCGUGGGGAGCGAACAGGAUUAGAUACCCUGGUAGUCCACGCCGUAAACGUUGGGAACUAGGUGUUGGCGACAUUCCACGUCGUCGGUGCCGCAGCUAACGCAUUAAGUUCCCCGCCUGGGGAGUACGGCCGC